CGCGCUGCCAGCACCGCGGGGCUUGCAGGAGGCCGCCGGGAGGGGCGGGCGCGCGAGCUGAGCACGAGGAGGCGGAGGCGGGGGAGAAGUGAUGCUGGCGCCAGGGAUCCGGGCAGCGGCAGCGGAGAAUAAGCAUCUUCGGGACCCCGGCUGCAGCGUCCCUGUGGCCCGCGGGCCAGCAGAACGGCCAGAGACGGCGCGUCCCGCGGAUCUGUUAGAGCCACGUCAAGGACUGCUGUGUCCAGGAGUGGAGAAAGGCUUAUGUGAGACAAGAGACUCUACUGUCAGAAGAAAGCAAAUGAUUUCAUCAUAGGUAACAGCUGACUCCUAUCUUCAGUUUUGUGUUCCUCGAAGAAUUCACUUGGAAAAGUCACGUGGAGCAACUCCAGCUAAAGAAGCAUGAAGACUAGUCUACUGGGGAAAGAAGAAAUGGGUUUCCACGGACCUAUCAAUGAUACUCAUCACAGGAUUCUGCAAUUUGGUGUGCAUCAGCUUUUGGAGUGAGCCUCUCAAAUCUCUACAGACCAAUGGAGACUAAGCAAGAUGCUCUGUAGCUGAACUAAGAAGAAAGGCAGCAAGUUUGGCCCAAAAGG
rnacentral:lncRNA from 1 species